rnacentral:rRNA from 1 species
AGACCCGAAACCCGGUGAUCUAGCCAUGGGCAGGUUGAAGGUUGGGUAACACUAACUGGAGGACCGAACCGACUAAUGUUGAAAAAUUAGCGGAUGACCUGUGGCUGGGGGUGAAAGGCCAAUCAAACCGGGAGAUAGCUGGUUCUCCCCGAAAGCUAUUUAGGUAGCGCCUCGUGAAUUCAUCUCCGGGGGUAGAGCACUGUUUCGGCUAGGGGGCCAUCCCGGCUUACCAACCCGAUGCAAACUGCGAAUACCGGAGAAUGUUAUCACGGGAGACACACGGCGGGUGCUAACGUCCGUCGUGAAGAGGGAAACAACCCAGACCGCCAGCUAAGGUCCCAAAGUCAUGGUUAAGUGGGAAACGAUGUGGGAAGGCCCAGACAGCCAGGAUGUUGGCUUAGAAGCAGCCAUCAUUUAAAGAAAGCGUAAUAGCUCACUGGUCGAGUCGGCCUGCGCGGAAGAUGUAACGGGGCUAAACCAUGCACCGAAGCUGCGGCAGCGACGCUUAUGCGUUGUUGGGUAGGGGAGCGUUCUGUAAGCCUGUGAAGGUGGCCUGUGAGGGUUGCUGGAGGUAUCAGAAGUGCGAAUGCUGACAUAAGUAACGAUAAAGCGGGUGAAAAGCCCGCUCGCCGGAAGACCAAGGGUUCCUGUCCAACGUUAAUCGGGGCAGGGUGAGUCGACCCCUAAGGCGAGGCCGAAAGGCGUAGUCGAUGGGAAACGGGUUAAUAUUCCCGUACUUGGUGUUACUGCGAAGGGGGGACGGAGAAGGCUAUGUUGGCCGGGCGACGGUUGUCCCGGUUUAAGCGUGUAGGUGUGUGUUCCAGGUAAAUCCGGUUCACUUUAACACUGAGGCGUGACGACGAGGCACUACGGUGCUGAAGCAACAAAUGCCCUGCUUCCAGGAAAAGCCUCUAAGCAUCAGGUAACAUCAAAUCGUACCCCAAACCGACACAGGUGGUCAGGUAGAGAAUACCAAGGCGCUUGAGAGAACUCGGGUGAAGGAACUAGGCAAAAUGGUGCCGUAACUUCGGGAGAAGGCACGCUGACACGUAGGUGAAGUGAUUUACUCAUGGAGCUGAAGUCAGUCGAAGAUACCAGCUGGCUGCAACUGUUUAUUAAAAACACAGCACUGUGCAAACACGAAAGUGGACGUAUACGGUGUGACGCCUGCCCGGUGCCGGAAGGUUAAUUGAUGGGGUCAGCGCAAGCGAAGCUCCUGAUCGAAGCCCCGGUAAACGGCGGCCGUAACUAUAACGGUCCUAAGGUAGCGAAAUUCCUUGUCGGGUAAGUUCCGACCUGCACGAAUGGCGUAAUGAUGGCCAGGCUGUCUCCACCCGAGACUCAGUGAAAUUGAACUCGCUGUGAAGAUGCAGUGUACCCGCGGCAAGACGGAAAGACCCCGUGAACCUUUACUAUAGCUUGACACUGAACAUUGAGCCUUGAUGUGUAGGAUAGGUGGGAGGCUUUGAAGCGUGGACGCCAGUCUGC